rnacentral:tRNA from 1 species
AAUCUUAUAUUUUAUGUAGAAUUUUAAUUUGCAAAAUUAAAGGAGAUUAAUUAUUCUAAGAUUU